GUCUAUGCCCAUAUCACCCUGAAUGCACCCAAUCUCAUCAGAAGCUAAGCAGGGUUGGACCUAGUUAGUACUUGGAUGAGAGGAUUAUGGAAAACCAAAUUUCAGUAUAAGGA
rnacentral:rRNA from 1 species